ensembl:lncRNA
ACGUGGACACCUCCGGGUUCACUGGCCCCACUUCUGCGCCCCUUCUCCAGGCGCCGACACCUCGCCGUCCUGGAGCCCUCGUUCUCGGAACCGGAACCGGAACUGGAUCACAGUGGGCAGCACAGCCACAGCGCCCAGAGCACCAGUCCUUGAGAGUUCAGACGCCCAAUUAGUGUCCUUAUAAAAUGGUGUCAGGGAACCUUCUCUAAAAUCCCGUAUAUCACCCUUAGGACACUGAAGUAUCCGUACGCCGAAUCAUCCAUCUUCCUGCAGAUCUCCUCUCCUCCCACUUACUUGGGCCUAAAGCGGCUGCUUGCAGUGAGAGAAGAGAAGCAGGAUCUUCCUUCCCUCGUUCUUGCUCUGCUCCUUCUCUUCUACAAGUUUGGUCAUAAUCUGAAGAUGAUCUUGCCAUCAACUGUUCCUGCAGAUAGCACCAGGGAGCCCUUUGUCUGUAACAUAAGCCGCUGUUUGUCCCAGGAAUUAGGCUUCAAAAGUUAUCAG